rnacentral:tRNA from 1 species
GGAAGUGUGGCAGAGUGGUCGAUUGCACCGGUCUUGAAAACCGGCGAUGUCGCAAGGCAUCCGUGAGUUCGAAUCUCACCGCUUCCGCCA